rnacentral:rRNA from 1 species
AUACGUAGGGGGCGAGCGUUGUCCGGAAUGAUUGGGCGUAAAGGGCGCGUAGGCGGCCCGGUAAGUCUGGAGUGAAAGUCCUGCUUUUAAGGUGGGAAUUGCUUUGGAUACUGUCGGGCUUGAGUGCAGGAGAGGUAAGUGGAAUUCCCAGUGUAGCGGUGAAAUGGGUAGAGAUUGGAAGGAACACCAGUGGCGAAGGCGACUUACUGGACUGUAACUGACGCUGAGGCGCGAAAGUGGGGGGAGCAAACAGGAUUAGAUACCCUGAUAGUCCACACUGUAAACGAUGAAUGCUAGGUGUAGGGGGUAUCGACCCCUUCUGUGCCGCAGUUAACACAAUAAGCAUUCCGCCUGGGGAGUACGGCCGCAAGGUUGAAACUCAAAUGAAUUGACGGGG